rnacentral:rRNA from 1 species
UAAAGAGCUCGUAGGUGGUUUGUCGCGUUGUUCGUGAAAUCUCACGGCUUAACUGUGAGCGUGCGGGCGAUACGGGCAGACUUGAGUACUGCAGGGGAGACUGGAAUUCCUGGUGUAGCGGUGGAAUGCGCAGAUAUCAGGAGGAACACCGGUGGCGAAGGCGGGUCUCUGGGCAGUAACUGACGCUGAGGAGCGAAAGCGUGGGGAGCGAACAGGAUUAGAUACCCUGGUAGUCCACGCCGUAAACGGUGGGUACUAGGUGUGGGUUUCCUUCCUUGGGAUCCGUGCCGUAGCUAACGCAUUAAGUACCCCGCCUGGGGAGUACGGCCGCAAGGCUAAAACUCAAAGAAAUUGACGGGGGCCCGCACAAGCGGCGGAGCAUGUGGAUUAAUUCGAUGCAACGCGAAGAACCUUACCUGGGUUUGACAUGCACAGGACGCCGGCAGAGAUGUCGGUUCCCUUGUGGCCUGUGUGCAGGUGGUGCAUGGCUGUCGUCAGCUCGUGUCGUGAGAUGUUGGGUUAAGUCCCGCAACGAGCGCAACCCUUGUCUCAUGUUGCCAGCGGGUAAUGCCGGGGACUCGUGAGAGACUGCCGGGGUCAACUCGGAGGAAGGUGGGGAUGACGUCAAGUCAUCAUGCCCCUUAUGUCCAGGGCUUCACACAUGCUACAAUGGCCGGUACAAAGGGCUGCGAUGCCGCGAGGUUAAGCGAAUCCUUUUAAAGCCGGUCUCAGUUCGGAUCGGGGUCUGCAACUCGACCCCGUGAAGUCGGAGUCGCUAGUAAUCGCAG